rnacentral:rRNA from 1 species
UUAGUAGGUGGCCGACUAAGUCAGACGUGAAAUCCCUCAGCUUAACUGGGGAACUGCGUCUGAGACUGAUCGGCUUGAGGACAGGAGAGGAACGCGGAAUUCCAGGUGUAGCGGUGAAAUGCGUAGAUAUCUGGAGGAACACCGGUGGCGACGGCGGCGUUCUGGACUGUUUCUGACACUGAAUAACGAAAGCCAGGGGAGCAAACG